AAAAUACUUCAAAGUAUUUAGGUAUAUCACAGAGGCAUACAUAUUUAAAACAUACUUUCCUGUACAACACAAUUUAGGUUUUAAAACAUUCCUACUAAACAAAGAACCAUUCCUGAUAAAAUUGUGUGAAAGCAAAUUUGUGUACCUAUACAAUUUCAAGCCUUUUCAUUUUCUCCUCAAGAAAAACUUUAAAAUUUUAUAUAAAUCCACUACUCUUACAAAAUGAUAUCUCAAGAAGUCAAGCAAAUUCUGCUCCUUAAUAUCACACCAACCGAUCAGGCUCUAUAUGAGCCGAAACAAUAUAAUUUUCCACAAAUUUGUGGCUUUUUCUUACGUACACUCUGGUGUAUACGUAUUUUUUUUUUUUUUGAAACAAUUUUCCAUAUUUAUUCAACAACUAUAUUAUUUCAAUAAGGUAGUCCUUUUGUUUGGAUUUCCUACAUUCUAAACAAAUCUUUUAUACCUAUUUAUAAGACAAUUUUUCCCCAUAAAAUAAAACUAGAAAAAUUCUUCAUUCUUUUUGUACAAAAAAAAAAAAGAAAACAACGAACAAUUCGUGAUUAGUUUUUAUAAAUGUCAACAUUCUAUUCAAUUUUCAAGCCUGCUUUCAUUUCCUAUAUAAAAAAAAGAAAAAUGUCAUCCCCAUAGAAUAAAAAAAAAAAAGAAAACUUAAAAAUUGAAAUUAAAGCCACUUUG